GAUGAUUUGGCAGAUUAGUGCCUUAAAUUUAGAAUUUAAAUAAGUAUUUAUAGUACAUUCAUUA
rnacentral:tRNA from 1 species